GAUGAAAAGGCAGAGAUACAGCUCGCUCCAGCACAGGGUCACUAUACCCACAGGAGACGUGCCAAGACUUCUCUAACAGUCUAGUUCAAGAGGCCAUAUGCCUCAUUCUGUGAGAGCCGUGGAGGUUGAAGCAUGGGUGUAGAGAGAGACAGAGAGAUCACAAGCUCAGAAAGAAAGGACCAGACUUCUGGAUAAGCAGUACUAGAAGCCCACAAACCAUAAACUGCAUAAUUGCCUCACGCACACACACAACUGGACCAGCAAUAGCUUUCUGGCUCAAAAGACAAAUAAAAGUGAAUAUUCUGUUGUAAA